UUGGGGGAAUGUAUAGUCCUCUUAUGAGGCUAGUUGUGUUUUGAAUAAAGGUAAAAGGUUAUAAAAAUAAACAUAACACCAACUACGUUGGCUAAAAUUCUAGAUAGAAUACUUAUUAUGACUAUUUUCUAUCUAAAUGUCUUGACCAAAUUACGUGCCAGCAGUCGCGGUAAUACGUAGAAGACUAGUGUUAUUCAUCUUUAAUAGGUUUAAAGGGUACCUAGACGGCAUUAUUAACCCAAAACAGGGAUAUAAUUUUGGCUAGAGUUUGAUAUAAGAAGAGAGUAUUUUGGGUGGAGAGUUGAAAUUCAUUAAUACCCCGAGGACUUAUAAUGGCAAAAGCACUCUUCUAUGUAAUAACUGACGUUAAGGGACGAAGGCUUGGGGCGCAAAGAGGAUUAGAUACCCUAGUAGUCCAUGCAGAUAAUUAUGAAUGCCAUAGACUAGAUAAAGUUAGUUUAUAAAUGAAAGUGUAAGCAUUCCACCUCAAGAGUACUGUGGCAACGCUGGAACUGAAAUCAUUAGACCGUUUCUGAGAACAGUAGUGAAGUAUGUUAUAUAAUUCGAUAGUCCUCGUAAAACCUUACCACAACUUGAAUAGUAUGCAAUUAAUAAUAUAUUCAAGCUAUAGAAUUAAGAGGAUGCUACAAGUGUUGCACGGUUGUCUUCAGCUAAUGUCGUGAGAUUUUGGUUAGUUCCAUAAAAUUAGCGUAAACCCCGGUUUUAUUUUUUAAUAAUUAUAAUGAUAAAGCAGUUCGUCACUUACAUCGAUAUGUGAUAG
rnacentral:rRNA from 1 species